rnacentral:rRNA from 1 species
AUUGGCGGCGAUAGUGCGGUGGGCCCACCUGAAUCCAUACCGAACUCAGAAGUGAAACGCCGUAAUGCC